GAAGGGGUAGCUCAAGUGGUAAAGCGUAUGCUUAGCAUUCACGAGGUCCUGGGUUCAAUCCCCAGUACCUUCU
rnacentral:tRNA from 1 species